GUGGGCAAACAGCAGCAGGGCGCAGCGGCGGUUCCCGUAGUCGGGCGGCGGCGGGGGGAGUUGGUCGGUGUCUGAUUUGGGAGCGUUGCGGGUGCUUCUGUCAGCGGGGAGGCUGGAAGAUUGAGACUAAAAAAGUGCAGCGUUUUCAGGACUCACGCUGCAUUUCUGAAGCUCAGAAAAAGACUCCUAUGUUUCCAGUGCCUGAAAACACCGGGCUGCAACCAGCUGCUGGGCAAGUCACAGGUGACCCUCACCUUCCAGGACCAGAUGGGCAGUAUCACCAACCCCAUCCAUCAAACCCUGCAUUAGUUCAAGUCACCGCACAGGUGAGCCCGAGCCACCAGCCUUCCUCAUCCCUCAGGCUUUCUUCAAGGCUUCUCAGAAGAGAAUCUCCAGCAGGAGCACAAAGACAAAGCCUCCCCUUCCCCAACAGAAAACACUUCUUCUAGGCACCAAAAAGAAACAAAGAACCAAGGGCUCCAUCCUCUUCAUCUUCUGCCUCUAGCCACCUAAAAAACAUCAAAGCACAAACUUACUAAAAAUAAAUUUAACACAACGAAAAACCCCCAACGCUCACCCAAAAGGCUGCUGCCACACAGAGAAGCCAGCCCUUUUUGGGGGACCUGUCCACUGCAGCCCACCCUUGGGGGACAACCAGGAGACAGAGGGACCCACUGAGCAUAAAAAGGUUAGGACAAACACCAACGGCUGCAGCCUCUUCACAUGCUGCCUUCAGCCACCUCCAAAGGAAAAGAAAACAACAACAAAAAAAACAUCCUAGAGCCCCAGGACACAGGCAGCACCUACUGCCUUUGGGGCAAGUGAAGGGAUCCGCAGCCCUGCCCCUGCAGGGACUGCUCCAGGUUGCUUCAAGGUUCCUGACCUGGCUGUACAGGGCUUCACUUCACCUGCAAUGAAAGAAAACAGAGAAAAAAGACAUCUGACUCCAGCCCAGCAUCAUCUCUAACCUCAAGAGCAUCACCUCCCACUGAACCCCCCAGCCCUGCAAGGGGGGCACAGCCCCAGCACCCACCUGCAGACACAACCACUGUUGGUCCUGCUGCUGGCUCUGCUGCUCUGGAACCCAAACCACCUGGAAGUAAAGGAAAACUGAUACACGUGGAGUGCCCCAAGCACCGAGCACGGGAGGAGGAAAAGGGAAGGGGUUACACCUGGGGAAACUUCCCAAGGCAGCCCCUACCCAGAGGAAAGGGGGGCUGCAGCCUGGAAGCGGCACCCACCUGGGUGCGACACCCACAGGCAGCAGCAGGCUCCCAGUAGCUCCUGUCAGGCAACCAGGAGCUCCCAGUCACUGUUAGGGCAGGGCAGCCCAUACCCACCAAGGCGAUCAUAGUAGCUCCCCAGUGACACCUAGGAGCAUUCGGAAGCUCCCAGGAAGCAGUAGCGAGGGCCGAGUAAGUGCCCAUGGGCUCCCAGUCGGCAGUAUCAGGUGCCCGGUGGGCACCUGGGAGCUCCUGGUUGGUAGCACCAAGCUCGCACCAAAUGUCCCAGUGGCUCCCAGCAGCCCCCAGAGGGGUUUAGGAAGCCCCAGGUGGGCCCUGGCCGCCCACAGCCCUGCCCUGGGAAAGUCCUGAAAAUCACAGACCUGUGCUGAAAAAUUACAGCUCGGUAUAGGCUGUGCCCUUGGCUUCUGGGAUACUGAGGGGGUUUGUGGAGGCAGUUGACAGAAAAGUGACUGAGGGUGUCGAUCUUGGUCAAGCUUGAUGUUAAGGGCUUGUGCUUGAUUGAUUGCUUUAAGUGGGACUUUAAAAUGGAGUAUGCUUCUCCUUUGAUUAUUUCAUCUUAGCUUCACUGAAGCUAUCAGGCACUUAAUUAUUUUAUUUUUACCCUACUAAUUGUUUUCACCAUAAUUAGAUUGUGUGUACAUUCCUUUUAACUUGCCAUUAGACAUUCUUUUCUUGCUUGGGCAUCUGAGCUAGACUGGAAUCACGUUCCAGUUUCUCGUGUAACACUUCUCAUACAUAAUUGUGUACGGCACUGAUUAUGUCUGGCUGUUGGAGACCACCUGAGAAAGAUCUAACUUCGUGUCCGUUUGAGGGGAUUUUAUGGAUGCAACCUCUCCCUGUGUAGAAAGUGAAAUAACAAUUAUUACCAGUGUAUGUUUGUAUUCUGUAGUGUCAGUAGGUUGUAUAGGCAGUCAUUGAAAGAAAAAAACAACACGACUUCAUCUCGUUGCUGCGCUUGGGAGCACUGGCUGCAGCCAGGUGACCAGGAGCCAUUGCUGCCCAUCAGACCUUGCAUCCUUUCCACUUUUUGUGUUGGGUGGGACGAGCAUGUGUGACUGAAGUGGCAAGUGUCAGUGCUAACAAAUGCCCAUCUGGGGUGAGAACAGCUGCGGGACAAGGUGUUUAUCUAGACCCAUUUCAAAAUAAUAUGGGAUACUUUGGCACAGUCAUUUUCCAAGUGUUACAUUCUAAAAAUAACUAGAGGGAAACAUCUUGAAAGCUUUAGCCACUAAAUCAAUAUGUGGGGUAGCUAUUCUAUAGGAAAGUCCUUAGAUACCAAAAGCCUGUGUCCUUUGGCCCUUUUGGUAAGCAAGCAGAUUUACUUAAGAGCUGGUGAACUGACUAUUCCUUGGCACACAUGCUCCAAGUAGAGACUAUGUCUCUGGUUUCCUGAGACGGACUUUGCUGUCCGAUGAGAGAUUUUUGGCUGAAAACUUGAUGUUAUAUGGGAAAACAAGAUGUGCUUUCAAGUCUCCUUUAUACAAUAGGGGAAAACCACUGGGUUUUGUCAUUGUUUGCAGCCAUGCAACAUUCUGGUCUCAGGCUCCUCCAAAGUAAGUAGCUCAGGCUCUUUCCCAGCUGUGCUGGUCCGUGGCCAAUAUUGCACUUGGAAUAGAAAUGGAAUGGCUGGUCCUAGCAAGGGCUAACCUGGGAGCAGAAAUCCCCUUUUUCAUAGAGAAACACGUCCUCUCCACAUUUACUGGUCCAAACUUUUGUCAAGAUGUCACCAGCUUAACUGUGGCUGACACAAGUUGUCACCAUCAGUCCACUGGCAAUCUAAGUAUUGCACUUAUUAAAAACUUCUCGAGACCCCCACAGACACAGGCCACUCUCAGGGUCCCCCCAAAAAUUUUGCUGUUUUUCUCGAAUCCCAGUGCUGGCAGGCCUGCUGCAAAAUACCCGGCUGCUCUCGUACUAAGUCCAAAUUCAGGUCUAUUACAAAUGGCAUGAGUUUGCUUCCUUCUUUACUGCACCUACUUUGCACAAUCAGUGCUUAAAACCUGGAAGGACCAUUAGGGCACAGGAGGUACCCAGACUUACUGUGGAACCAGAAGCCUUCUAAUCCACUUGUGCGUUGCUGAAAACAACUUGGAACUCAAGCUGGUAUUUGUUAAGAUUGCAAAAAGGUUUGUUUUGCAAACUACUUAUUUUCCUUUGAAAUAUAAUGUUAUUUUCUGGAAGACCCAGAGCAUGAACUAAGCUCUUACUAAAUGGGUAUACAGCAGUACCAUCUUCUUUUCUUUAGCAUGCUUUAGUAAAUAAUACUUCAUCAUUUAUUUGCUAGCAACUGAGAACACAUUUUUCUUUCAGCUAUCCACAGCAUCUUUCAGGUAAAAAUGAGGACUAAUCUGAGCCAUGACUAAAAAAAACCCAUUUUUAGCAGAACAGAAGACAACUGUGCUUCUGAAUUAAUUAAAUUUGUGUGCAAAAAGGGAAGAACUUUUUGUGAGCAUCAGAAUCUCAGCAUGGUUCUCCAUCUGGGAUUCACCUCUGCUCAUUUAAGCUGCAUCACAAAAGAUGACCCAUCUGAGGGAUGUAUUCUCCUGCUGGGAUCAUGUCGUAGUACUCAGAGACCCACGACCUAACCCUGGAGCUGGCCUCUGAUCUGUGGCUUUCCAGGGUGCAAUGGGGUGGGACCAGACAUCUUCCAUGGUCCUUGCAGCCAAGGACCAGGCCAAGCAGCCAUGCUCUCUUCCUCUCCCCACUCUGGGAGGGGGGCAGCAGCAGGACUUGGGGACUGGGCUGACAGGGAGGGAAGUGGGCAGUGUGCAUGGACCCCUACUGGAUGUGGGAGUCCAGUCAUAUUGGUCCCUGAGGAACCAGGCCAAAUUAAGUGUUGGACUUAGUCCCUGGAGCAAAAAGUGACUUUUUUUAUCCCCUUUUUAUUCAAGGAGUGUACAAGCACCAGAAUAGUUAUUGAAUCAUUAGUCAAAAUUUAUUCAAGGUACAAUGACUACAGUUCAUAUUCAGGUUAGGACAGUGGUUGAUAUAUAACCUUACCAAAAGCCCAGAUUGCUGUCAUUAGCUGGAGCUGCAAUUAGCUUGUAAGAAGAAUUUGCUACAAUGCAAUGCUGACAGCAGUGGGAGCAUGUGUUCUGGAGCUGAAAUAACCAGGUAAACUGAGGUGAAACAUCCGUUGUUCAUAAGGAACAUCCAGUGUCCAUCGGCCAGAGCUGUAACAUCUCCUGUCCAGGAGGUGGAGCUGCCUGAAACUCAGAGAAGCCCAAGUGUCCAUCAGCAGGAGGCAGCAUCUCCCCACCCGUCUGCUGGAGUGUCUGUAACCCGAGCUGUGAGAAGCAGGAGCAUCUCGUAUCCCAGCCGUGCACGAGCCGCCAUUCAGGGCUGGAGCCUCAACAAGCUGGAGAUACGAGAAGCAGGAGCUGAAAUAACUUGGAGCUUCAAAUACCUUGAAAUGUAAGAAGCUGAAGGGUCCAUUGGCCAGAGCUGUGGGACCUGGGAGUGUCCCUUAUUCGGAGCAUCCAUGAGCUGGAGUGUCUGUCGCUGGAGCUAUAACUAGCCCAGGUGUCUGCCAGCCAGGAGCCGGGUGGGCACAGGCAGGGCUCUCCCCAGAAAGGAGCUCUUGCCAGGCACGAGCAGCAGGGAGGCGAGUCACCCUUCUGCAAGCGGGGAGCCUGGCCUCUUCCCUCGGGGAUUAAAUCCACCCCUCUCUGCAUGGAGGGUCUCCCUGUGGGAAACUGCAGCGGGUCUGUGGAAUCCUUGACAGAAAAUAUGAGAGUAGAGAUCAGCCCUGAGAUAUUAAGAUUUACCCUUGAGAAGGAUGGGAGUAAAGGAGUAUCCGGAGAGAGGAGAGAUGUACCCGUGGGAGAGAAGGGGAUAGAAGAAUAACAUGGAUGAUAGAAAAAUUAACCAAUGAGAUGUUAGUGCUGUAACUUGUAACCAAUAGUGAAAAGACACAUGAACUGGUAGAAUUGUAUAAAAAUGCACUUGUAGCAAUAAAUGGCAUCUAUUACUUUCAUCUUGAAAG